UGCCUCACUCUCCUUCCUCGCCGGCCGCAGCGGCCUCGGCCGAAGCUCUGUCACGCUUUCCAAGGCUCCCACGACUCCUUCGAGUUCGCUCCUCCACACCUCCUUCCGUUCCUCUCCUUUUGGAUCUCUGUCCUCGCCUUCGUCCUUCUUCGGUAUGCAUUCCUUAUGUUUCCUUUUUGUCCUCUAGAUAUAUUAUUAUUUCCCCACCCACGUCACUUGUCGUUUUGGAACCUUUUCUUUUGGAGGAGGGAGUGUCUUCAAUUGAUAAUUUUGUUCCCAAGCAGUGUAAAAUUCACUAUCAUGAUUCUAAAGUCUGAUUUUUUCAUAAAAU
rnacentral:lncRNA from 1 species